GAUAUAUAAAUUAAAUGUGAAAGAAGAAGAGUGUUAUGAACAGAGAUCAGAAAUAAUUCAAAUAUAUGCAAGUUCCGAUCAUCUUUUUUCUCUAUUUUUUCGCUCUAUAUUUGUACAAUAUUCUGUCUAAUCUUU
rnacentral:ribozyme from 13 species